UACGUAGGGGGCAAGCGUUGUCCGGAAUCAUUAAGCGUAAAGCGCGUGUAGACAACUCAGUAAGUCCGCUCUGAAAGCCCGGGGCUCAACCCCGGGAGGCGGGUGGAUACUGCUGAGCUCGAGUCCGGAAGAGGAGUGUGGAAUUCCUGGUGUAGCGGUGAAAUGCGCAGAUAUCAGGAGGAACACCAAUGGCGAAGGCAGCACUCUGGGACGGUACUGACGCUGAGACGCGAAAGCGUGGGGAGCAAACAGG
rnacentral:rRNA from 1 species